UUUGUCUGUCUGAUUUGGUUCAAAUAUAGCCCCAAAAUCUAUGUUUAAUAUUAGGUUUUGUUUGGUCCAUCUGAUUUGGUCCAAAUUUAGGCCAAAAUAAAUGUUGAAAUAACAGUGAAAUUCUGCGUGACUUCUACGUGCUGUAAUGGGCGCGCGCGCUGAACUGGAGCGGAGGACGUCACCAUGGAAACGAGGCGGCAGCCCAACCGUCAAGCAGCUGAACGCUGACUCUCAGUGUGGUUUUCACUAUUGUUUUUUAGAAAUGGUUUAGUGUCGUCAGAAAAAGUCCGUUAGCAUCUCCACUGUAAGGCUAACUACAAGAGUAUGCUUAUGUUCUUGGUUCUUCCAUGCUGAUGGCUGUGCUCUAGAGUCAUAUCUCCUGUCGAAGAACAUUUUUAGACAUUAUGAACCAUGAAAAAGUUUAGCUCCAACCCCAGUUAAGCAGAUCGGGGCAGCUGAUCAAGGAUCACCAGAAACUCUGCAGAACAUUGGUCCUCCAGCCCAGGACUGGACACCAGUGUUAGUGUCUGUCUCAGAAGCUGAAGAAAAGAGGCCACACCUCAGAGGAAAUAAGCGCCUCCUAAGUGUACGGAAAUACCUGGCUGAGAAGAUCAGUGACAUAAACCAGAUAAAACUGUCAGUGGUCUAAGACAGCUACAAUGAAGCCACAAAAU